CAGGCCGAGAGGCGCUGCGACGGGCCCGGCCCGCCACGCUCGACCUGGGAGCAUGUGGACCAAGGGCGCCUCCGAGAC
rnacentral:ncRNA from 1 species